UACGUAGGUGGCAAGCGUUGUCCGGAUUUAUUGGGUUUAAAGGGUGCGUAGGUGGUCUAUUAAGUCAGUGCUGAAAUAUCCCGGCUUAACCGGGAGGGUGGCAUUGAUACUGAUGGACUUGAGUGAAGUCGAGGUAGGCGGAAUUGACGGUGUAGCGGUGAAAUACUUAGAUAUCGUCAAGAACACCUAUUGCGAAGGCAGCUAACUAAGCUUUAACUGACGCUGAGGCACGAAAGUGUGGGGAUCAAACAGG
rnacentral:rRNA from 1 species